GAUAACCCUAAAUCAUAUUCUCUCCCAACCCAAGCCAUCAAAAUUUCUAAUUCCCCUUAUCAAAUCUCUCUCUGUCAAAAUUCCAGCCGACCACCACUAGUCGUGCCGUCCAAACUGAUAUUUUGAUCAACUAUUUUUUUUUUUUUUGGUUGAAGAUUAUGCUACUAUUUUAACUAUUUGGGUGGUAUUCAAAUUAAAUCCCAAAAGGGAUUUUGUUUUGGCUUUGUUGAAUUUGAAGAUGAAGUUGCUACGCAAAAUGCAAUAGAGGUACGGACUAAGGCAUGAAGCUGGGAGAGGAUUCCAAGGGACGCUAUGAGCAUGAGAG